AAUAGGUAUUGAUAAUAUUAUUUUCUCUCUCUUGUGAGUUCAUCUUUUUCAUUUUGUUUUCCAGAUAUAGGACAGAUAUUUAUCUUGUCUACUACAAAAACACUCCCAAAUUCAUAAGCGUGCAUUGACUGAGACGUGACGUGGGAAACAGUAACUCAUAAUUUCUAUUAUGCCUCCCUGGAAGGCUAAGACAUAAAACAAGAAAAGAAGAAAAACUGUGAGAUCGCUGAACUGCCAUCUUUCCUUCCCACAUCUCCUGGCAGCUGGUUAUCGGAGCCUCUCCUCCUGUCACCUGGACACAAAAUACCUGUGUAUUGCUGUACGGAGAAUGAUCUCAGUGGGCGGCUGGCGACCUGUCCUUGGGAAAGAAGUCAGACUGCCGCCUUCAUGGACAGAGUAUCUUCUUCACAAGAGAGACCCCCCCCCCACGUACCUGCAAAUGAGAACAUGGAACCCCUCAGACCUUGGGUGGUCAACUGGAAGGAGUUUUCUUUUCUGAGAGGGGAGAUAUUCUCUGAAAUUCUCAGAUGGCAUACCUGUGCAGCUUGCUAG
rnacentral:lncRNA from 1 species